UGCCAGACUCCUACGGGAGGCAGCAGUGGGGAAUAUUGCACAAUGGGGGAAACCCUGAUGCAGCGACGCCGCGUGAGUGAAGAAGUAUUUCGGUAUGUAAAGCUCUAUCAGCAGGGAAGAUAAUGACGGUACCUGAGUAAGAAGCCCCGGCUAACUACGUGCCAGCAGCCGCGGUAAUACGUAGGGGGCAAGCGUUAUCCGGAUUUACUGGGUGUAAAGGGAGCGUAGACGGCAUGGCAAGUCUGAAGUGAAGGCCCGGGGCUCAACCGCGGGACUGCUUUGGAAACUGUUAAGCUGGAGUGCAGGAGAGGUAAGUGGAAUUCCUAGUGUAGCGGUGAAAUGCGUAGAUAUUAGGAGGAACACCAGUGGCGAAGGCGGCUUACUGGACUGUAACUGACGUUGAGGCUCGAAAGCGUGGGGAGCAAACAGGAUUAGAUACCCUAGUAAGC
rnacentral:rRNA from 1 species